rnacentral:rRNA from 1 species
UACAGAGGUCUCAAGCGUUGUUCGGAUUCAUUGGGCGUAAAGGGUGCGUAGGUGGCGCCGUAAGUCAGGUGUGAAAUUUCGGAGCUUAACUCCGAAAACUGCAUUUGAUACUGCGGUGCUUGAGGACUGGAGAGGAGACUGGAAUUCACGGUGUAGCAGUGAAAUGCGUAGAGAUCGUGAGGAAGACCAGUGGCGAAGGCGGGUCUCUGGACAGUUCCUGACACUGAGGCACGAAGGCCAGGGGAGCAAACGGG